AGAGACGCUGGGCGGCGUGGAUUAGGCAUGCAAGUCGAACGGUAUCAUCCUUUCGGGGGUGAGAGAGUGGCGAACUGGUGAGUAACACGUAGGUUAUCUACCCUCAAGACGGGGACAACCCAGGGAAACUUGGGCUAAUACCGGAUGUGAGCAACUUUUAGUUGUUUGAAAGGUGGCGUAAGCUGUCGCUUGGGGAUGAGCCUGCGUCCUAUUAGUUAGUUGGUGAGGUAACGGCUCACCUAGGCAAUGAUAGGUAGGCGGCCUUAACGGGUGGUCGCCCACACUGGGAUUGAGAUACGGCCCAGACUCCUACGGGAGGCAGCAGUCGAGAAUAGUCUACAAUGGUCGGAAGACUGAUAGUGCGACGCCGCGUGAACGAUGAAUCCCUUCGGGGUGUAAAGUUCUUUUAUAUGUGAGCAGUGCUUCUUAUAUUAACAGUAUGGGGAGAGAGAUAUUAGCAUAUGAAUAAGCAACGGCUAACUCCGUG
rnacentral:rRNA from 1 species